UACGGAAGGCAGCAGUGGGGAAUAUUGGACAAUGGGCGAAAGCCUGAUCCAGCCAUGCCGCAUGAGUGAAGAAGGCCUUCGGGUUGUAAAGCUCUUUAGUGAGAAGAUAAUGACGGUACUCACAGAAGAAGUCCUGGCUAACUCCGUGCCAGCAGCCGCGGUAAUACGGAGAGGGCUAGCGUUAUUCGGAAUUAUUGGGCGUAAAGAGCGCGUAGGCUGAUUAGUAAGUUAAAAGUGAAAUCCCAAAGCUUAACUUUGGAAUUGCUUUUUAAAACUGCUAGUCUAGAGAUUGAAAGAGGAUAGAGGAAUUCCUAGUGUAGAGGUGAAAUUCGUAAAUAUUAGGAGGAACACCAGUGGCGAAGGCGUCUAUCUGGUUCAAAUCUGACGCUGAGGCGCGAAGGGCGUGGGGAGCAAAACAGGGAUUAGAUACC
rnacentral:rRNA from 1 species